rnacentral:rRNA from 1 species
AUGGAACUUGUUAGAGGGGGAUAAACGACCAUUAACAUCAACAUGGAGAUUGGUUACUAUUUCCGCAAUGCUAGAGGCGUUAGGCAGGGGAACCCGCUAUCCGCUUUGCUUUUUUAAUCUUAUCGCCAAUGCCUUGGCGGCAUCCUGGAUGGGGCCAAGAGGGCCGGCCACAUCUCUAGCGUGGCGGUCCGCAUCUGCAAGGGAGGGGUUACUCACUUGCAAUAUGCCAAUGAGACCCUCAUCCUUAUUAAGAAUGAUCCUCGAGAGAUCAUAAAUCUAAAAUUCCUCCUCAUGUGUUUUGAGGCGAUGUCGGGUCUGAAAAAUAAUUGUGAGAAAAGUGAGGUGUUCAUCACAAGUGGGGACGUGGAAGACCGUUGGAGAGCGUCUAAUAUGAUGAACUACAAGCUAGGAGAGCUCCUCAUUAAAUACUUGGGGCUCCCCUUGGCUGGUCACCAAAUUAUCAUAGAGGAACUUUCACUCAUAACUGAUAGGGUUGCCACUCAUGUGGAGCCAUGGAUGCGCAAUUUCCUAGAUUCAAGGGGGAAGGUUUGCAUUAGUUAA